rnacentral:rRNA from 1 species
CCCUUAGAUGUUCUGGGCCGCACGCGCGCUACACUGACGAAUGCAACGAGCUUAUAACCUUGGCCGAAAGGUCUGGGUAAUCUCCAAAUUUCGUCGUGAUGGGGAUAGAUUAUUGCAAUUAUUAAUCUUCAACGAGGAAUGCCUAGUAAGCGCAAGUCAUCAGCUUGCGUUGAUUACGUCCCUGCCCUUUGUACACACCGCCCGUCGCACCUACCGAUUGGAUGGUCCGGUGAAGCCUCGGGAUUGUGGCGGUUGCCUUUAUUGGUGGCCGCCGCGAGAACUUGUCUAAACCUUAUCAUCUAGAGGAAGGUGAAGUCGUAACA